rnacentral:lncRNA from 1 species
CUUCGCUGUAGGAAGGAGCUUCUGCUCCCUUGCUGCUGGGGGACUUGCACGUGGCUUGCCAAGGAAGAUUGGCCCUGAGCUUACAUCUGUUCCCAUCUUCCUCUACUUUAUAUGUGGGACGCCUGCCACAGCAUGGUUUGAUAAGCAGUGUGUAGUUCCACAACCAAGAUCCAGGAUGGUGAACCUUGGGCCGCCAAUGCAAAGCACACAAACUUAACAGCUACGCGCCACCAGGCCAGCCCCUUGUUACUGAACCAGGCGACCCAGUGUUUCGUUGGUUCGAAUCCUGGGCACGGACAUGGCACUUCUCAUCAAACCACGCUGAGGCAGCGUCCCACAUGCCACAACUAGAAGGACCCACAACGAAGAAUAUACAACUAUGUACCGGAGGGGCGCUUUGGGGAGAAAAAGGAAAUAAUAAAAAUCUUUUAAAAAAAAAAAGGAACCUUAUUCUAGAGUGUCAGAAUCCUUUCCAUGAAUUUCUCUGAAGAUG